AUGUUAGUCUUAAAGAUCAAGAGGCUGGUGGAGUGGGAGGACAGCGAGCCACGCCGCUUUGUUUACGAGGAAGCAUGGAGACGGGAAGAGUCGUAUGAGCCCACAAUGGUGGCUGCAUGGAAAAAGAAGAAGGGAGCUCUUACACUUGAGGACCUCAAUUCCUCGUUAUAUGACAUGCAGGGCCAUCUAACCGAUUGGAAACAAAAAAAGUUUGGGGAUAUAAAGCGUAAACCGAAGAAGGUGAGGAAGGAGUUUGAGAGGGAGAAGGCGAACUCACUGUACCGCGGCUCGUCCAGAAGGGAGAAGGAGCUGGCAAGGCAGUUGAAUGAUCUUUUGCUGAAAGAGGAAAUCAUGGCGAGGGCGAGGUCGAGAGCUGACUGGCUUAAGGCAGGCGACCGAAAUACUGGGUUCUUCCAUGCUCAAGCAUCAAGGAGGAAGCAUCAAAAUAAAAUCCUUGUGCUCGAGAAAUCGGAUGGAACGAUCGUUGAUAGCAGGGAGGAGGUGAGAGCUGAGGUACAAAAUUUUUACACACAACUAUACACAGCUCAAGAUGAGGUUGUUAUGGAUGAAGUGUUGCACCAUGUACCAAGCAUGGUGACUAAUGAGAUGAAUGACCGGCUGAACAGACCCUUUGAUGCAGAUGAAGUAGAGAAAGCACUGUUCGCUAUGGCGCCGGCGAAGGCGCUGGGAGCAGACGGAUUCCAUGCGGGAUUCUAUCAGCACCACUGGUCACUAAUAAAGGAGGAUGUAACCCGAUCUAUUUUAAAAAAUUUAAACGGCGGGCACAUGCCUGAAGUUAUUAACAAAACUGUAAUAGUGCUCAUCCCAAAGGUUAAAAAUCCGAGGAAUAUUACACAGUAUAGACCAAUUUCCCUCUGUAAUGUUAUUUACAAAUCUGUUCCAAAGUCUUGGCUAACAGGUUGA
rnacentral:rRNA from 1 species